CCUACGGGAGGCAGCAGUGGGGAAUAUUGGACAAUGGGCGAAAGCCUGAUCCAGCCAUGCCGCGUGUGUGAAGAAGGUCUUCGGAUUGUAAAGCACUUUAAGUUGGGAGGAAGGGCAUUAACCUAAUACGUUAGUGUUUUGACGUUACCGACAGAAUAAGCACCGGCUAACUCUGUGCCAGCAGCCGCGGUAAUACAGAGGGUGCAAGCGUUAAUCGGAAUUACUGGGCGUAAAGCGCGCGUAGGUGGUUUGUUAAGUUGGAUGUGAAAUCCCCGGGCUCAACCUGGGAACUGCAUUCAAAACUGACUGACUAGAGUAUGGUAGAGGGUGGUGGAAUUUCCUGUGUAGCGGUGAAAUGCGUAGAUAUAGGAAGGAACACCAGUGGCGAAGGCGACCACCUGGACUAAUACUGACACUGAGGUGCGAAAGCGUGGGGAGCAAACAGGGUUAGAUACCCUGGUAGUCCACGCCGUAAACGAUGUCAACUAGCCGUUGGGAGCCUUGAGCUCUUAGUGGCGCAGCUAACGCAUUAAGUUGACCGCCUGGGGAGUACGGGCCGCAAGGUUAAAACCUCAAAAGNGUAGUAGGACGUGNGAGAGCGACGACGACGACGACGGAGGAGG
rnacentral:rRNA from 1 species